AGAGUUUGAUCCUGGCUCAGAGUGAACGCUGGCGGCGUGGAUCAGGCAUGCAAGUCGCGCGAUCCUUAUGUAAUGAGAGGGCUGACCGCAAGGAAGGCUUUUGAGUUACGCGAGGAUAGCGGCAAACGGGUGAGUAACACGUGAGUAAUCUACCCUUAAAACCGGAAUAGCCUUGCGAAAGCGGGGGUAAUGCCGGAUGUGCCCUUGAUAACUUAAGUUAUUUAGGGUAAAGGCGGGGACCGUAAGGCCUGUUGUUUAAGGAUGAGCUCGCGUCCUAUCAGCUUGUUGGUAGGGUAAUGGCCUACCAAGGCUUUUGACGGGUAGCUAGUCUGAGAGGAUGGUUAGCCACACUGGGACUGAGACACUGCCCAGACUCCUACGGGAGGCUGCAGUCGAGAAUAUUUAGCAAUGGACGAAAGUCUGACUAUGCGACGCCGCGUGAGGGAUGAAGGUUUUCGGAUUGUAAACCUCUUUCGAUCGGGAAGAAAAAACUAUCGCUAAUACUGAUAGUCUUGACGGUACCGGAAGAAGAAGCCACGGCUAACUCCGUGCCAGCAGCCGCGGUAAUACGGAGGUGGCAAGCGUUACUCGGAUUCAUUGGGUGUAAAGGGCAGGUAGGCGUCUUAGCAAGUUUCAGGUGAAAGCCCCCGACUUAAUCGGGGAAUUGCCUGAAAUACUGUUAGGAUUGAGUGUGAAAGAGGAGAACGGAAUUCUCGGUGUAAGAGUGAAAUCUGUAGAUAUCGAGAAGAACACCAGUGGUGAAGACGGUUCUCUGGUUCAUAACUGACGCUGAGCUGCGAAAGCUAGGGGAGCGAACAGGAUUAGAUACCCUGGUAGUCC
rnacentral:rRNA from 1 species